ACCCUUCUUCUCUCUCCGCUUUUGACGUUUUCCCUUUCACAGAGAGCCCUGCUUUAAGCUAAUCCCUAUUUUCUUCAAGCUUCCAGUGAAAUAUUCUGAUUUACUCCUGCCGAGGCCAUUGAAAGAAGUUUUCAGGAAGAGCCCGGGGACAUAUUGACUAUUACAAACUUCUCCACAACGAGCCGCUUCCUUGAUUCCCUUGACAGGUAUUGCUUUUCUUAUAAGUUGCGAUGUAUGUGAGGAGAAUAAAGACUGAUGGUAAAACAUGGAGUCUUGUAUCUCAACGUGGCAAACAUUUGAUUAGUUCUUACUACCGCAACUGUGCUCCUACUCAAACUUCAAGCUCUGCACCAAUUCUUGAGAGCUGCACGUUUCAAGGUACCUUGAAUAGAAGACAUCUGCUAGAUACUUUCAAGUCAACAAGUAUUGGUUAUGGGAGAACACAUAUAAGGUUGCUUAGAAGGUCAGAUGUCUGUUUAAGUUGUAGCCAGUUGAGGUUUUAUAGCUCUGAAGGUGAUGGAAGAAAUGCAAGUGAGGAUAAACAUGCACGCACAAUAGAACAACCUAGCUCUGACAAGGCAAAGACUUGGAAACAAAAAGUUGGUGAACAGGUGAGACAUUGUGAUGGACAUGCUGAACUUGGUGAGCUAGAACAAAAGGAAUGGCUUUGCAAUGAAAAGCUGUCAAUUGAUAGUAAGAAGAAGGAGUCACCCUUUCUGCCUAGAAGAGAAAGAUUUAAAAAUGAGUUUUUAAGGCGGAUUGUUCCUUGGGAGAAGAUAGCUGUAUCAUGGGACACCUUUCCUUAUUAUGUCCAUGAACACACUAAGAGCCUCCUGGUGGAAUGUGCCGCCUCACAUCUAAAGCAUAGAAAACUUACUAUGGAUUAUGGUGGCCACUUAAAUUCGUCAAGUGGGAGAAUUAUGCUUCAGAGUAUUCCGGGCACUGAACUUUAUCGAGAAAGAUUUGUCUGAGCAGUUGCUAAAGAUUUGAAAGUCCCACUGUUAGUUCUUGAUAACAGCAUUCUAGCUUCCUAUGAUUUUGGGGAAGAUUGCUCAUCUGAAAGUGAAUCAGAUGAGGAUGCAGAAUCAGCUGAAGAGUAUGCUUCAGAGUCUGAAGCGGAUGAUGCGACUGAUGCAGCUAAUGAGGAGGAAUGGGCAAGCAGUGGAGAGGCAAGGUCUGAAGCUAGUGAUGACGAAAGAGAUGUUCAGGCAUCUGCUGAAGCCCUAAAGAAACUUGUUCCUUACAAUCUUGAAGACUUUGAGAAGAGAGUAUCAGGAGAAAGUGAUGAUUCUUCUGAAUCCCCAUCAUCAGAAGCUGUUGAUAGUUCAGAAAAUACCAAACGGCCAUUUAGAAAAGGCGAUCGAGUAAAAUACGCUGGACCUUCUGUUAUUGUUGAAGCUGAUAACAGAUGGUACAUGCACUUGGCUGAUCCGAAAGACUAGUCAACUAAAAGGGCCUUGGAAUUGACCACAUGGACCGCCCCAAGAAAAUAACUGGAUCAAGAAAGCACAAGAGAUACCUAGUACAGAGCGACCUAGGAGUUUAAUAAGUAUUGGGCUUAGUAUUCAUAAUGUAAUAAGGAUUGUUUACUAUUCAUAAUGUAACAAUAACUCCCAAUAUGAUGCAGUCUAAGAUUUCUAUUCCUUGUAUGGCUCCUAGCUCAAAAUAUGUAUAAAUAAACCCCCAUACAUGGGAAGAAGGGGAAGCAAUUUUUACA